AACUACCUUCGGGGUCGGGUGAAAUUCCCAACCGGCGGUGAUGAAGCUGUUGCUUCUAAGCCCGUGACCCGUUUUACGAUAUGUGUGUGAAGCGGUGGAUUUGGUGAGAAACCAAAGCCGACAGUAAAGUCUGGAUGGGAGAAGGUAUUG
rnacentral:ncRNA from 2 species